CCUGGGAGGGGAUGCGAUAGCUGAGCAGGCCACGGCUGGAGCUGGCCAGAGGAAAGGGAGAUUGCGUGAAGAUGGGAAGACACCGGGGCCAGGAAAAGCCAUCCUUCAUGAGCUUGACAGCCCUGGGAGCCGACAGAGGGACUUACUGAACGGGACUAAAGCAGUAUGUUGAGGUCAGCUACACUACACACUUCUACCAUGAUGCAUUGCUUCACCACAGGUUCCCAAACAACCAGAAUGAACAUUGUCACCUUUUAGAGUUCAAGUUGGGUAUGCAGAGACCAGGAAGACUUUGGGAGACACCAUCCCACCUGAGGAUAACAGGCAUGCCUGGUGCCUAUGGAAGCCGGAAGAAGCCUUUGGAGCCCCUGGAACUGACAUUACAGAUAAUCGUGAACUGUCAUUUGGGUGGUGAGAACAGAGCCCAGGACCUCUGGAAGAGCAACCAGUGCUCUUAACCACUGAGCCAUCCCUCCAGCCAUCUCUAUUCUCUGCUUGUCUUUUAUGUCUUAGUUCUUCCAUAUUCAAGUCUCUGAACACCCGACUGCUGAUCACUUGUGACAUGUGCUGUGGGCUUGGCCAGUGUGCCUUGAGGCUGUGGCAGCCCUGCUAAGAGGUGAAGUCAGAGGGGCAGGUUCCAGCCACCUACACCCCAAGUCCUACAGUCUCCGGGGUUUGGUCAGCCUGGUGUGCACUGGCUGGCCCUCUCCUUGUGGUUGUGGCUGGUAGCCUGGGAGGAGAGAGAGUGGGGUAAGCCACUCACCCCCACGGCUGCCUUCUGAGGCCAGCCAGCUCGCUGGGCCAUUAACCAGGCAAG
rnacentral:lncRNA from 1 species